CCCUUAGACGUUCUGGGCCGCACGCGCGCUACACUGACGAAGGCAACGAGCUUUCCUUUACCGAAAGGUACGGGUAAUCUUUUGAAACUUCGUCGUGCUGGGGAUAGAUCCUUGCAAUUUUUGAUCUUAAACGAGGAAUGCCUAGUAAGCGCAAGUCAUCAACUUGCGUUGAUUACGUCCCUGCCCUUUGUACACACCGCCCGUCGCUACUACCGAUUGAAUGGUUUAGUGAGGCCUUCGGAUCCGCGACUCGUUUGUGGAGAAGUUGGACAAAUUCAGUCAUUUAGAGGAAGUAAAAGUCGUAACA
rnacentral:rRNA from 1 species